CGGAAUUACUGGGCGUAAAGAGCUCGUAGGUGGUUUGUUGCGUCGUCUGUGAAAUUCCGGGGCUUAACUUCGGGGUGGCAGGCGAUACGGGCAUAACUAGAGUGCUGUAGGGGAGACUGGAAUUCCUGGUGUAGCGGUGGAAUGCGCAGAUAUCAGGAGGAACACCGAUGGCGAAGGCAGGUCUCUGGGCAGUAACUGACGCUGAGGAGCGAAAGCAUGGGGAGCGAACAGGAUUAGAUACCCUGGUAGUCCAUGCUGUAAACGGUGGGCGUUAGGUGUGGGGACCGGUUUGGUUUCUGUGCCGUAGCUAACGCAUUAAGCGCCCCGCCUGGGGAGUACGGCCGCAAGGCUAAAACUCAAAGGAAUUGACGGGGGCCCGCACAAGCGGCGGAGCAUGUGGAUUAAUUCGAUGCAACGCGAAGAACCUUACCUGGGUUUGACAUGCACCAGACGGUUGUAGAGAUACGUACCUCCCUUUGUGGUUGGUGUGCAGAUGGUGCAUGGUUGUCGUCAGCUCGUGUCGUGAGAUGUUGGGUUAAGUCCCGCAACGAGCGCAACCCUUGUCUUAUGUUGCCAGCACUUUGGGUGGGGACUCAUGAGAGACUGCCGGGGUUAACUCGGAGGAAGGUGGGGAUGACGUCAAAUCAUCAUGCCCUUUAUGCCCAGGGCUUCACACAUGCUACAAUGGUUAGUACAACGCGCGGCAAACCUGUGAGGGUGAGCGAAUCGCUGAAAGCUAAUCUCAGUUCGGAUUGGGGUCUGCAACUCGACCCCAUGAAGUCGGAGUCGC
rnacentral:rRNA from 1 species